CCCUGUUCCCGGAAUCGCAUUGAAAAGUGUAACCCUCCUGACUGGAGGCACUUACUUUAACUCAUUAAAUCCAAAAGUCGUUUAUGAGGGAUACCUUAUAAAUUCCUUGUCUCCGGACUACUCUUGAUUGAGGAUUGGUAGAGCUAGAGUGCUGCGUGUUAUGAUACUAAGGUAACGAUAGAGUCGGUCUCACAAGAAGGGUUUUACCCUCGCCAAAGUUAACAGUUGUGGCAUGACUGGAACCAAAGUGGUAUGCCAAAAAAAGAGAUUUCUCGUGAUGUCCAAGUGAUUGGGCUAUAAGAUUUUAUCGGAUCUUUUUCCUUAAGAGGCAGUUUACGAUAACUAUUGGUGUGUUAAGGAAAAAGCGGGUCUGCCAAUGACGCCCGGGACUAGAAAUGCGGUGAGAGUAACCAGUGUCGCUAACUGGGGCAUUCUCUCAUCAUCCUGUGACUGAGUAAGUAGCAAUAACAAUGACGUGGUAGGGGUAACGCCCCAAUGCUUUUAUGGAGAGGU
rnacentral:ncRNA from 1 species